rnacentral:tRNA from 1 species
GCCUGGGUGGCUCAGUCGGUUGAGCGUCUGACUUCAGCUCAGAGUUCGUAGGUUCAAGCCCCGCGUCGGACU